rnacentral:tmRNA from 1 species
GGGGGUGUUUUGGUUUUGACAGCGUAGGUAUCGGACGGUAAGCACGUCGGGCGUGGGAGCCUUGCCCGUAAAUCUCAGACUCCGAAAAUCAGUUGCCAACAACAACUAUGCACUCGCUGCUUAAUCUGGCAUAGCCGAUUAGCUUAAUCCGAGGCGCCAAGGUUGCGCUUCCGACGAGUAUCCCUCGGACUUUCCGCCCUGUAUAGUCCGGCCCAGGGGUAUCAUCCAGACAGGGACGCACCGGCGGAUGUCUCUAAAGCCGGCCAAGAUUCAGAGGCUAAGGGUCCUGUAGCCCGCCUUCCGGCAGCUUCUCCCCGACAAUCAAAGGAAGGAUAAGCGUGUAGAAAGCCGCCGGGUGCGACGUUUGGACAGCGGUUCGAGUCCGCUCACCUCCACA